CAAGUUUGUCUCGGACAUUUGUUGAAUCUCCAAGCGAGAAAUUAUGAAUGUGUCGACAAUGAUCCGUCUUUACAAGUUUUAUUUCUCGGUUGUAUCGACAGAGCAAUUGUUUUUCAGCUGAAAAGGACAAAGUGUUCACACAGAAGAUUGUAGGAAAUGAAGACGUGUGAGAAGACGAAAAGGGAAAGAGAAGGAAAGGAAAAAGCUGCGACCAUAAUUCAUGUAUAUUUUCCAAAAUAUAUUGAACAGUUGUCGCAUUUUUCAUGCCACUCCUGGCUUGAGGUCAUUUCCAUAAAGAAAAAUCAAUACUCAAAUCUCUUGAGACUAUUAUUAGUCUCACAAUCCAUCACAGUGAACAAGUUGCAUUCAUUUAAUCAGUCCACGCUCACGGUCAUGGCUACAGACGACGACUACAGACGGCAGGUCAUCGUGUCAGUGAGCCGGCGACAGGACCGAGGUUUCACUCAUCUGUCGGAAGGAGGAAGAGGAGGAGAUGAUCCAUCUGAUUCUCUGUGAUGCAGAACCUGAAACAAGCAGAAGUGAAAGUAUGAAUGGAAAGACAUUAACAGCAUGUAACUUUUAGACAGAGGUCUACACAGGAAAUUAAAAAAGUCGAUGUCAUGCAUGGUGAUCAAAUAAAAAAUGAUCAAAA